CCUACGGGAGGCAGCAGUAGGGAAUAUUGCUCAAUGGGGGAAACCCUGAAGCAGCAACGCCGCGUGGAGGAUGAAGGUUUUCGGAUUGUAAACUCCUUUUGUUAGAGAAGAUAAUGACGGUAUCUAACGAAUAAGCACCGGCUAACUCCGUGCCAGCAGCCGCGGUAAUACGGAGGGUGCAAGCGUUACUCGGAAUCACUGGGCGUAAAGAGCGCGUAGGCGGGAUAGCAAGUCAGAUGUGAAAUCCUAUGGCUUAACCAUAGAACUGCAUUUGAAACUGUUAUUCUAGAGUAUGGGAGAGGUAGGUGGAAUGCUUGGUGUAGGGGUAAAAUGCGUAGAGAUCAAGAGGAAUACUCAUUGCGAAGGCGACCUGCUAGAACAUAACUGACGCUGAUGCGCGAAAGCGUGGGGAGCAAACAGGAUUAGAUACCCCAGUAGUC
rnacentral:rRNA from 1 species